GUGACGUCUUCCUUCAAUAUGUCUAUUAUGAAACUUUCAUCAUGAUGCAAUAACACGGAUUUGACGUUGCUUUCACGAGGGGAGGGUUCCCGACAAACAUCAAAUUUGGUAUGUUUGACCUGGUUUCAACAAGCAUUAUAAUACCCGGGAGGGAACGAUGAUGAACAAGCCAGACAGCCCGCCCGCCACCCGGUCGAACUGUACAUGGUGUAUGGCAACAUGCCGACAUGCUAAAAUUUGUUAGCACUUCAAGAUCUUAUAAUGGAAAAUUGUAUCCAAACUGAAGUAUAAACCAGCCUGGUUGCUGUAGCCACAGAGGAAUUUUCAAGGACAAGAACCAGUGCUGGUCAAAAUGUGGUCUCGUGUGGUUUUCCAUACCGGUUCUCGGCAAGGAUUUCCGAGAAAGGAAUACCGUCUCCAAAUCAUGAUGUGCCAAUAAGCUCCAGUUAGCUGUGGCUUCCCCCCCCCCGGCGAUAGUCCUGCAAUCUGAAUCCAGGAGAUGCAGCUCUGAAUCCAAUAUUUCAGAAGAAUGAAG